rnacentral:rRNA from 1 species
UACGUAGGGUGCAAGCGUUGUCCGGAAUUAUUGGGCGUAAAGAGCUCGUAGGCGGUUUGUCGCGUCUGCUGUGAAAACCCGUGGCUCAACCAUGUGGUCUGCAGUCGAUACGGGCAGGCUAGAAUUCGGUAGGGGAGACUGGAAUUCCUGGUGUAGCGGUGAAAUGCGCAGAUAUCAGGAGGAACACCGGUGGCGAAGGCGGGUCUCUGGGCCGAUAUUGACGCUGAGGAGCGAAAGCGUGGGGAGCGAACAGG